CAUGCAAGUCGAACGGCAGCACAGAGGAGCUUGCUCCUUGGGUGGCGAGUGGCGGACGGGUGAGGAAUACAUCGGAAUCUACUCUGUCGUGGGGGAUAACGUAGGGAAACUUACGCUAAUACCGCAUACGACCUACGGGUGAAAGCAGGGGAUCUUCGGACCUUGCGCGAUUGAAUGAGCCGAUGUCGGAUUAGCUAGUUGGCGGGGUAAAGGCCCACCAAGGCGACGAUCCGUAGCUGGUCUGAGAGGAUGAUCAGCCACACUGGAACUGAGACACGGUCCAGACUCCUACGGGAGGCAGCAGUGGGGAAUAUUGGACAAUGGGCGCAAGCCUGAUCCAGCCAUACCGCGUGGGUGAAGAAGGCCUUCGGGUUGUAAAGCCCUUUUGUUGGGAAAGAAAUCCAUCUGGUUAAUACCCGGGUGGGAUGACGGUACCCAAAGAAUAAGCACCGGCUAACUU
rnacentral:rRNA from 1 species